GCCACGUCUAGGGUAGCUCCCGAACCCUCGUACACCUCUACGGGCUGGCGUGGCCUCCAUUACAGAGGG
rnacentral:sRNA from 1 species